CCCGCUUCCUCCCCUGUGUGGGUCUUAUGGGAUUCUCCGGUUGUUCUUAACAUGAUUAUUAUUUUAAAACAGGAUGGUGCUUCACAAAAUGGGUAUUCAGCUCAUGGUCCUGCUUGGUUGCCUUGGAAACGAGCACAUGACUAUUCUGAGCCACUGUAGUGAGGGAAAGAGGGAGAGAGGAAUCAAGCGUAGUAAAGAGGCGAUGCUGUUUGUGUGUGGAGCGGCGACCGAGGGGAGGGCAUCAUCAACAUUAGCUGACAGCAUGGGAAGAAGCCUGCGGUGGAUGUGAGCAAUAAUAACAUUACCACCGCUUUCUCAUAAUGAUAACAUUGCAGAAUAAAAGAAAAGUUUCUUUUCGGUAAGUUAAGUGUCCCACUUUUUAGCCUCAGAGCAAAACAAUCCUCACUCAUCACAUUGUGUCUUAAUAUCUUGUCAGAGAUGCGGCUCACCUCCUGUUAGCAGACUGCUAGUCUGUUCCUGGAGGCAAUGAAAAGCAGCAUCUCCUCUAAUUCAUCACCAUCCGAAGGGAGAGAGAAGAACGAGAGACGUUCAAGAGUCAUCAGAGUGGAUGUCUGCACCUUUAUAUCCUGUGCAAAUAUGUGUUUAAUGAGAAAAUAUUUUCCACCUGGAAUUACAAAUGUGUCUUUGCUCCCUGCUUACAAACAUCUUCUUUGAGACGUCGACCUGUUACAAUUGCAGUUUAAUCUGAAAUGGAAUUACGGCAGCAGUAAUUAGUUUAUAGAGGAGUCUAAUUGUCUUAUUGUGUUUAAAAAAAAUAUUCCUUUAUCUCCUCGGGAACUUUGAAAGGAGGAUAGCGUUUCCUUCCCACUGCCCCCCCCCUCCCUCCCCCCAUCAACUUCUCUCUUCCGCUGAGGCAGUACAACACAACUAUUCAUUCAAACCAAUAAUCUCAAAGUCAUUACCACUUAUCAAAAGGGCUGCGAAUUAAUUAUGUUAACUGCAAGAAUUUUCAUUAGAUCUUUAAAUGUGUACACUUCAUCAGUUCUGAGAACUCAAUUUGAUUACAGUUGAUUUCUUUCUACUUAAUGAGGCAAGCGUUUCUUUCUUUUCCCCCUGUCCCUUUUUUGUCUGUUUCUCUGUUUCUUCAUUAAUUGGAUUAUGAUCAAUGCAAGCUUUAAUGUUAUGGAAAACUUAACCGAAGCCUCAAUCUACCACGACACAGUUUUUGCGGCAGAAGAUUAGAGAACGUCGUAUCGUCAUUUGUCAAAUAUCAAACUGUCUUUCCUUAACGAUGUUGGAAUGAAACGCUGCUAAUCACUGCUGACGAACGCACGCUGCUGUUCUACAAAGAUAAUGAGUCUGCCAGAGUCAAAGGGAGCAACAAACACCCGAGCAGAGCCCAGAAGGAGGAGAUGAAACGUGACAUAUCAACAAAAUACAGAUACUCAAGUGCAACUACGGACUGACAACGACUGUAAGAAGAAAACCCCUGACUAGAAGAGAAGAGACGGCGGCGACGCAGGAAAGGAGGGAAAGAAAAGAUAUGAAAAAAGGUGUGAAUGUGCUCCGUCACUUUGUUUCAGGUUAGAGAUUUGACCCAAACGGAGCUGAGAGACACAGCGGGGAAGACGAAGUCAGAGACAUUACAGAGGCCCGUGUCAACCACCGGGGGACGCGAGGUGUGAAAGAGAGAAACAAAGUGAUAAAAAGGGGAAACGGAGUGAAGAGCUGAAGCAGGCAGGAAGGAUGAGGACUAAACACACUUUGAUGAGAGCUACUUGGAUGAAAAUCCUCCUUACUGGUGAUCCACCCGCCAAGAACUUUACCUCAUGAAGUAUACCUUCCACACCCCUGUAAACACACACACACACACACACACACACACACACACACACACACACACACACACAGACCAGCGAUUUAUAGACAGGUGAAAUGCACCUGUGCGUUUUAGCCUCAUCCACUCUGGACUCAAAAUGUCACACAGACACAUAAACACACUCACAGCAUGGCGGACACAAAUACACACACAGGUGCUGCCGGGUGGACCAUGGGGAAGAGAUGAGACCGCUCUCGCUCCACUGACUGGAAAACCUGAUCUUCUUACCUCAGCAAGUUCAGAUGGAGGGACUCAGUGGAGAGACAUCUGUGUGUGUGUGUGUGUGUGUGUGUGUGUGUGUGUGUGUGUGUGUGUGUGUGUGUGUGUGUGUGUGUGUGUGUGUGUGUGUGUGUGUGUGUGCGUGUGCUUUUGUAUGUCGUGAGAAGGAGAGCCAGAGCAAGAGCCUCAUCAGCAGAGCACAAGAUUGAGGAGCAAGUGAGAAAAAGAACGACGCUGGGUCCUUAGCUGUUGUCAUGGCAACACAUUAACAGGUCGUAGGGUAAACAGGUGACUUUUAGUUAGUCAAUCGCCCCAAAAAUGUGCAGAA
ensembl:lncRNA